rnacentral:tRNA from 1 species
GGUGGAUUGCCAGAGUGGUCGAUUGGGGCCGACUGUAACUCGGUUGCUUAUUGCCUCGCAGGUUCGAAUCCUGCAUCCACUA